AGUGAACGCUGGCGGUAGGCCUAACACAUGCAAGUCGAACGGCAGCACAGUAAGAGCUUGCUCUUACGGGUGGCGAGUGGCGGACGGGUGAGGAAUACAUCGGAAUCUACUUUUUCGUGGGGGAUAACGUAGGGAAACUUACGCUAAUACCGCAUACGACCUACGGGUGAAAGCAGUGGAUCUUCGGACCUUGCGCGAUUGAAUGAGCCGAUGUCGGAUUAGCUAGUUGGCGGGGUAAAGGCCCACCAAGGCGACGAUCCGUAGCUGAUCUGAGAGGAUGAUCAGCCACACUGGAACUGAGACACGGUCCAGACUCCUACGGGAGGCAGCAGUGGGGAAUAUUGGACAAUGGGCGCAAGCCUGAUCCAGCCAUACCGCGUGAGUGAAGAAGGCCUUCGGGUUGUAAAGCCCUUUUGUUGGGAAAGAAAAGCAGCAGGUUAAUACCCCGCUGUUCUGACGGUACCCAAAGAAUAAGCACCGGCUAACUUCGUG
rnacentral:rRNA from 1 species